rnacentral:rRNA from 1 species
UCGGAGGAAGGUGGGGACGACGUCAAAUCAUCAUGCCCCUUAUGUCUUGGGCUUCACGCAUGCUACAAUGGCCGGUACAAAGGGUUGCGAUACUGUGAGGUGGAGCUAAUCCCAAAAAGCCGGUCUCAGUUCGGAUUGGGGUCUGCAACUCGACCCCAUGAAGUCGG